rnacentral:rRNA from 1 species
GAUGAACGCUGGCGGCGUGCCUAAUACAUGCAAGUCGAGCGAACGGACGAUAAGCUUGCUUCUCUGAUGUUAGCGGCGGACGUGUGAGUAACACGUGGAUAACCUACCUAUAAUACUGGUAUAACUUCGGGAAACCGUAGCUAAUACCGGAUAAUAUUUUGAACCGCAUGGUUCAAUAGUGAAAGACUGUCUUUCUUUCUCUUAUAGAUGGAUCCGCGCUGCAUUAGCUAGUUGGUAAGGUAACGGCUUACCAAGGCAACGAUGCAUAUCCGACCUGAGAGGGUGAUAGGCAACACGGGAACUGAGACACGGUCCAGACACCUACGGGAGGCAGCAGUAGGGAAUCUUCCGAAAUGGGCGAAAGCCUGACGGAGCAACGCCGCGUGAGUGAUGAAGGUCUUCGGAUCGUAAAACUCUGUUAUUAGGGAAGAACAAAUGUGUAAGUAACUGUGCACAUCUUGACGGUACCUAAUCAGAAAGCCACGGCUAACUACGUG